UACGGAGGGUGCGAGCGUUGUCCGGAAUCAUUGGGCGUAAAGGGCGCGUAGGUGGCCCGGUCAGUUCGUGGUGAAAGCGCGGGGCUCAACCCUGCGUCGGCCAUGAAUACUGCCGCGGCUGGAGCACUGUAGAGGCAGGCGGAAUUCCGGGUGUAGCGGUGGAAUGCGUAGAUAUCCGGAGGAACACCGGUGGCGAAGGCGGCUUCCUGGACCGAUACUGACGCUGAGGCGCGAAAGCUAGGGGAGCAAACGGG
rnacentral:rRNA from 1 species